rnacentral:rRNA from 1 species
AGCGAACGCUGGCGGCAGGCUUAACACAUGCAAGUCGAGCGGGCACUUCGGUGUCAGCGGCAGACGGGUGAGUAACACGUGGGAACGUACCCUUCGGUUCGGAAUAACGCUGGGAAACAAGCGCUAAUACCGGAUACGCCCUUUCGGGGGACGGUUUACUGCCGAAGGAUGGGCAUGGGUCUGAUUAGCUAGUUGGUGGGGUAAUGGCAUACCAAGGCGACGAGCAGUAGCUGCUCUGAGAGGAUGAUCAGCCACACUGGGACUGAGACACGGUCCAGACUCCUGCGGGAGGCAGCAGUGGGGAAUAUUGGGCAAUGGGCGAAAGGGUGAUCUAGCAAAGCCGCGUGAGUGAAGAAGGUCUUCGGCUUGUAAAGCAAUGUAGGUUGGGGGGAAGAACAGUAAGUUAAUCCGGUGCUGUUUUGACGUUACCAAAAGAAUAAGCCCCGGCUAACUUCGUG